GCCAGUGUGGUGUAAUGGUUUUAAUGUUGGACUACAACUCUAGAGAUCAGGGUUCAGUUCCCCACUCAAGCA